UUAAGUUUGAUAUUUGCAAGGAAGUUAUAUUCAUCUUUUGUUUGAUGUUAUUUACUGUUUUGAUUUGGCUUCUGUUUGACUUUUGUACUUGUUCAUUAUUUACUUUGUUUUCCUUUUCCUUUUCUCCUUGUUACAAUUCCUUAGACUAGGUUAGAGUAAGUUAGAGUAAGAUAGUUGAGUGUAGGUUGUUUGUUAUUUGGGUAGAUUUCUUAGUUUAGGUAACUGGUAAGUAUUUUAGAUUUGUGCAAUAGGGGGGGAAUGUGAUAAAGGAUGGAAAGGUUUGCAAUUUCUAAAACUGUGCAAGAACUGAAUAGUGCAAACCUAGGAAUGAUUGACAGUGGCAUGUGGCCAAGGGUCACAUGGGAGCCUGAGCUGGAGGAUCUGGGAAGACUCCAUCUUGCCCCAACAGACUCUUCUUCUGGUCUCCUGAGGAAGUCAAGAGGAAGGUCUGAAGAGGAUUUUCCCUGUGUUGAACUGAGCUGCUGGCACCAUUCAGUCUCACUUGGACAUCAGGACUUGCUUGGACUUCUAACACCAGAUCCUGGCUCUAACUGCUUUUUGGACCCCUGCUGAGUGAAAGAGUACUGGAGAUAGCUAUCACCUCAUGUGCUUUUCAAGGUCAAGAAAGACAAGAAUAUCAAGGGUGAGAUUGGGAGACACAAGAUUACAGCCAAGAAGAAAUGAGAAGUAUGCCAUAUCAUAAAGAAGAGAAACUCCGAGCUUCCCAGCCUGUUAUGUUGUGCCAAUCAGCCUGCAUUCCUCAGACUACAUUAGCAACAUGCCAAUAAUUCAGUGCUCCCAAGAUGUGUGACGGGUUUUCACAACACAUUUUUAUGAGUAAACUCACGCUUUCCUCUCCUCCUGUGUCAGAGACUGAAUGACUCAUAGGAACCAAAAUUAAAAGCUGGAUGGAAACUGGGGGAUCAUCAACUAUUACCCCUUUCUGAUACAGAUGCUUGCUCAAGGUCAUAUAGAAAAUAAAUGGAUUAGAGAGGAUUUGAACUUAAGUCCAAAUAAAACAUAUUUUCCAUUGAACAACAUUGUCUUUUAAAUUGUAAAUUAGGAAAUAUCAUCAGAAUUCCCAGUAGAUAUGUAAUGAGAACAUUUUAAAUAAAUGUCUCUU